rnacentral:lncRNA from 1 species
AUCCAAUCAAAUUAGUACAUGUAACAUUUGCACAUUAGUGAACUUGCUAACUAUUAGUAAAUAAGUUUCUGCUUCUUGUAACAAUUACAAGUUAAUUGAAUUAUCAAUCAUAUUAAUAAUUUGGAUUCCGACCAUUUGAUUAGUCUCAAACUCCUUAUGUGUAUAACCUUAUAGGUUCUAUUCUAUCUAGUAGUGAGUGAUAUUGUGAUCUCUAUCACAAUAUUAUUGAAACUUCUUUCAAUAGAUUGAAAUAUUUCUAACUCUUUCUAACAAGAAUCAUUUGAUCAUCUAUCUGAUUCUGUAGGCCCC